AAUUUGGUGUCGGUGGGACGAAAGCCUUAGGAGGAGUUAGCCACAUUCCAAUGUGUGCGAAUCGGCAAAAAAUGCAAAAUAGCCCUUUAACCGUACAUUUGACAGAUACGCGCCCAUUGACUUUUUCGUAGAUCUUAUUGAGAUACACGUGAUUGUCAAAUUUUGUGUCAAUAUGACAAAGCGUACAGGUGUCACACUCAACAAUGUGAAUUUUCACCUUAGGGGACAAGAAAAAAUGGACUUUUUUCUCCUGCCAUGGGGGGGCGCUCUUUUGGGGAGUAAAAAAUCCUUCACAAAUGUGUUGAUGGCUGGACAUUGCAUCAUCCUAGAAAACUUGGAGGCCAGUGAGGACAAAAAUAAAAAGUUAUAAGACUUUGAAAUAUGUGGAUUUUAGGGUUAUCUUUGGCGCCCCCUAGAACCUAAACCGUGGGGUGCAGCGUCAUAAUUUGAAUAACUUUUAAUGGCCAUGGGGUGUAGAUUGGCCUGAGCAAAUGUGAUGCCAGUGGAACGAAAGCCUUCGGAGGAGUUAGCGAAAUUCCAAUGUGUGCGGAUCAACAAAAAAUGCGGAAUAACCCUUUAACCGUACAUUUGACAGAUACGCGCGCAUUGACUUUUUCGUAGAUCUUAUUGAGAUACAUGUGUGUGUCAAUUUUUGUGUCAAUAUGAUAAAGCGUACAGGCGUGACAGUCAAUAGUGUGAAUUUCCACCUUAGGGGACAAGAAAAAAUUGACUUUUUUCUCCUGCCAUGGGGGGGCGCUCUUUUGGGGAGUAAAAAUUCCUUCACAAAUGUGUUGAUGGCUGGACAUUGCAUCAUCCUAGAAAACUUGGAGGCCAGUGAGGACAAAAAUAAAAAGUUAUAAGACUUUUAAAUAUGUGGAUUUUAGGGUUAUCUUUGGCGCCCCCUAGAACCUAAACCGUGGGGUGCAGCGUCAUGAUUUGAAUAACUUUUAAUGGCCAUGGGGUGUAGAUUGGCCUGAGCAAAUGUGGUGCCGGUGGAACGAAAGCCUUGGGAGGAGUUAGCGAAAUUCCAAUGUGUGCAGAUCGGCAAAAAAUGUGGAAUAACCCUUUAACUGUACAUUUGACAGAUACGCGCGCAUUGACUUUUUCGUAGAUCUUAUUGAGAUACAUGUGUGUGUCAAUUUUUGUGUCAUUUUGCCAAAGCGUACAGGUGUUACACUCAACAAUGUGUAUUUUCACCUUAGGGGACAAGAAAAAAUGGACUUUUUUCUCCUGCCAUGGGGGGGCGCUCUUUUGGGGAGUAAAAAUUCCUUCACAAAUGUGUUGAUGGCUGGACAUUGCAUCAUCCUAGAAAACUUGGAGGCCAGUGAGGGCAAAAAUAAAAAGUUAUAAGACUUUUAAAUAUGUGGAUCUUAGGGUUAUCUUUGGCGCCCCCUAGAACCUAAACCGUGGGGUGCAGCGUCAUGAUUUGAAUAACUUUUAAUGGCCAUGGGGUGUAGAUUGGCCUGAGCAAAUGUGGUGCCGGUGGAACGAAAGCCUUCGGAGGAGUUAGCGAAAUUCCAAUGUGUGCGGAUCAGCAAAAAAUGCGAAAUAACCCUUUAACCGUACAUUUGACAGAUACGCCCGCACUGACUUUUUUGUAGAUCUUAUUGAGAUACAUGUGUGUGUCAAUUUUUGUGUCAUUUUGACAAAGCGUACACGCGUGACAGUCAAUAGUGUGAAUUUCCACCUUAGGGGGCGCUAUGGAGCCAUUUUGCAUUUUAUUGUUUGGCCGACUUCGGAAUAUCAAAUUUUUCACCAGGCCCGGUCGUCCUGCCAAAUUUCAUGAGUUUUCGCCAGUGGGAAGUGGGCCAUUUUCCAGUUCAAAGGGGAGGAAAAAUAAUAAUAAUAACAAAAGAAGGAAACAUGCAGGAACAAGAGGGCUCUCGCAGCUGCUUAGCAGCUACGCUCGGGCCCUAAAGAAAAACCACUUGGGGAAUAAUAGGGCUCUCGCAGCUGCUUAGCAGCUACGCUCGGGCCCUAACUAGGACCCCGUUGGGGCACUGGCGGGCCCGAGCUGUGUCGCAUCCCCCCCCCAACGCGCUGCCUCCCCGUCCCAUUUGUGUCCUCUGGCCAUCGCCCUCUCUGGUAACGCCCAUCACUGCAAAGACCCUUUUCCUUCAUCGGCGUUUGCUGUUCUUCCUUCCAGUGCGUGUUGCUUUCACUUACACUUGCCACAGCCAGCCUCGUGAGUGCCUAGCCUAUUGGAUAUCACUGUCACCUACACAGGACAGUCAUUACCUUUCUAUUAAUACUUUGUUUUUUAAUUUCACAUUAAUUUCCAUAUUGUAUAAACAACUGGAAAAAACUUGAGCCCCUGCCCCUGUAUAAUCAUGUGCACGUCUCUGUUCUAGCUGUAAGGUGAAUCUUCACUGCUCAUGUUCUCCUCAGAAGCAGUCACCUCACUCCCCUCAGGUUACUGUACACAUGCACCAACUGCCUGCUUCAGGUUUGGAUGGAGCUUCAUGGUUGUCUUUUGGAGAAAUGACCAGUCAAGUUGUGUUUGAAAUUUGAUUUUUUUCAGGGGCAAAAGGAGCCUCUGCAUUCUUGUCAAAUAUGUAAAUAGCAUGUUUUUGCAGGUGCUAAAAACCAGACUCUGAGUGUGUGUGUGUGCGUGUGUGUGUGUGUCUGUGUGUGUGUGUGUGUGUGUGUGUGUGUGUGUGUGCGUUCAAGUCACAUGACAUAUUUAACCGGAUGUAGCUGCAAGACGGAGCCUCGUUGACUCUCCGUUUCAACUUAUCUCAAAAGUGAGGACCUCAACCUAUAUACCAGUUUUUAAAUUGUGUUGAUAGGCCAAAUAAAACCAGAGUUAUGAUAAAUUAUGUCCGCGAUACUUGUUUUCUGCUUAUUUUGAUCACGUUCGGCGCUCGAUCGCGCUGUAUGAGACAGGAAAACAUAGCAUGCAGACAUUAGCGACAGGUCUUACAGGCGGAAAAGGCUUGCCAAAGGAAAAAAAAAACACACCACAACAUCUCUCCUAUUGGUGGAAAACUUCACCACAACAACCAAUCCAAAAUUAUAUGGUGACUGAUUGACAAGGGGCGGGCGCUUACGUUCUUCCUGCAAUAUGAGAAGGGAGGGAGGGACUCUCAGCAGGGAUGCAGUCUGGGACACGUAGUUGCAAACCUAGCGACUUUGUUGUUAGAUUCAAUGACUUUUCAGACCCCCUAACGACGUUUUUUUAGAAAGAAAGUGACUUUUAUCGACUUCUUCUGGAGUUUAGAGACUCUGACAUGAAGCAGGCUUUCCUUACUGAGGAGUUAGCAACGCUGCUAAGGGUGCAGAGCCACACAUGCGCUCCGAGCUCUGCAUGGGAGACUGAAGCUGACAGAGCUGCAGCAGUUAGCAGGUUUCACCCUCAGAGACCACCAGGGGUUCAUGUUGAGGCAUUUUCAGUUUUUUUUUUUUUUUUGCCAUAGACACUGUCAGCACAAUCUGCAGUUACACUAACAAAAAUGCUGCAAAAAACAAAGAAUUAUGGAAAAAUUACACAUGGACUGACAUAGAGGAGGAUCUACACAAGUUUUUUACAUCAUGUUUUACAUCAUGCAUCAUUUACAUCAUGUUUUUUUGUAGUGGCAUAAAUAAAAAGUGACAUUUGUGAGACUAUACAGUGUUUUGUAAAUAAUUUUACAAAGAACACCUGGGCCAUUGCCUGCAUUUUGAUGUAAAUAGAGGUAAAUUACUAUGUUCUUUGUUAAAAAUUUGCAUAUGUUUUGAAGUUUACAAUUUUUAUUUGAAGUUUAAGUUUUAAAAACAGUUCAUCACACAUAUUUGUGGUUUUCACAGUAAAAACGUUACUUUUUUCCACUCGGAUUUUAUGUUUUGUGUGUGAAUUUGGGUCCAAUGUGUAAAUAUAGUAUGUCAAAAUGAUAAAAUAACUGUAAAUUGACACAGGUGAGGUUGUGCUGAAAAAAAUGAUACCAGGCAAGGCAAGGUAAAAAUUUUGUAAGAGGAAAUAUAAAGGUAAAAUCUAAAGUAGUCAAAAACGGCCAAUAGUGACUCACAGACUCCACAGACAAGUCCCUUUGGCGCCACUCAGUGGGCAAAACUACUUUGUCUACUGUAAUGUAUAUUUGGGUCAUCUUUGGCGCCCCCUAAAACGUAAACCGUGGGGUGCAGCGUCAUGAUUUUUACAACUUUGAAUGGCCAUGGAGUGUAGAUUGGUCUGAGCAAAUUUGGUGUCAGUGGGACGAAAGCCUUAGGAGGAGUUAGCGAAAUUCCAAUGUGUGCGAAUCGGCAAAAAAUUCAAAAUAGCCCUUUUACCGUACAUUAUACAGAUACACGCUCUUUGACUUUUUCGUAGAUCUAAUUGAGAUACACAUGACUGUCAAUUUUUGUGUCAAUAUGACAAAGCGUACAGGCGUGACACUCAACAAUGUGUAUUUUCACCUUAGGCGACAAGAAAAAAUUGACUUUUUUCUCCUGCCAUGGGGGGGCGCUCUUUUGGGGAGUAAAAAUUUCUUCACAAAUGUGUUGAUGGCUGGACAUUGCAUCAUCCUAAAAAACUUGGAGGCCAGUGAGGACAAAAAUAAAAAGUUAUAAGACUUUGAAAUAUGUGGAUUUUAGGGUUAUAUUUGGCGCCCCCUAGAACCUAAACCGUGGGGUGCAGCAAGAUGAUUUGUACAACUUUUAAUGGCCAUGGGGUGUAGAUUGGCCUGAGCAAAUUUGGUGCCGGUGGAAAGAUAGCCUUCGGAGGAGUUAGCGAAAUUCCAAUGUGUGCGAAUCGGCAAAAAAUGCAAAAUAGCCCUUUAACCGUACAUUUGACAGAUACAUGCCCUUAGACUUUUUCGUAGAUCUUAUUAAGAUACACGUGAUUGUCAAAUUUUGUGUCAAUAUGACAAAGCAUACAGGCGUGACACUCGACAAUGUGUAUUUUCACCUUAGGAGACAAGAAAAAAUGGACCUUUUUCUCCUGCCAUUGGGGGGCGCUCUUUUGGGGAGUAAAAAUUCCUUCACAAAUGUGUUGAUGGCUGGACAUUGCAUCAUCCUAGAAAACUUGGAGGCCAGUGAGGACAAAAGACAAAAGUUAUAAGACUUUUAAGAAUGUGGAUUUUUGGGUUAUCUUUGGCGCCCCCUAGAACGUAAACCGUGGGGUGCAGCGUCAUGAUUUGUACAACUUUUAAUGGCCAUGGGGGGUAGAUUGGCCUGCGCAAAUGUGGUGCCGGUCGAACGAAAGCCUUCGGAGGAGUUAGCGAAAUUCCAAUGUGUGCGAAUCGGCAAAAAAUGCAAAAUAGCCCUUUAACCGUACAUUUGACAGAUACGCCCACACUGACUUUUUUGUAGAUCUUAUUGAGAUACAUGUGUGUGUCAAUUUUUGUGUCAAUAUGACAAAGCAUACAGGCGUCAUGUGAAUUUUCACCUUAGGGGGCGCUAUGGAGCCAUUUUGCAUUUUAUUGUUUGGGCGACUUCAGAAUAUCGAAUUUUUCACCAGGCCCGGUCGUCCUGCCAAAUUUCCUGAGUUUUCGCCAGUGGGAAAUGGGCCAUUUUCCAGUUUAAAGCGGAGGAAAAAUAAUAACGACGGAAGGAAACAUGCAGGAACAAGAGGGCUCUCGCAGCUGCUUAGCAGCUACGCUCGGGCCCUAAUAAUAAUAACAAACUAGGACCCCGUUGGGGCACUGGCGGGCCCGAGCUGUGUCGCGUCCCCCCCCCAACGCGCUGCCUCCCCGUCCCAUUCGUGUCCUCUGGCCAUCGCCCUCUCUGGUAACGCCCAUCACUGCAAAGACCCUUUUCCUUCAUCGGCGUUUGCUGUUCUUCCUGCCAGUGCGUGUUGCUUUCACUUACACUUGCCACAGCCAGCCUCUUGAGUGCCUAGCCUAUUGGAUAUCACUGUCACCUACUCAGGACAGUCAUUACCUUUCUAUUAAUACUUUGUUUUUUAAUUUCACAUUAAUUUCCAUAUUGUAUAAACAAGUGGAAAAAACUUGAGCCCCUGCCCCUGUAUAAUCAUGUGCACGUCUCUGUUCUAGCUCCAAGGUGAAUCUUCACUGCUCAUGUUCUCCUCAGAAGCACUCACCUCACUCCCCUCAGGUUACUGUACACAUGCACCAACUGCCUGCUUCAGGUUUGGAUGGAGCUUCAUGGUUGUCUUUUGGAGAAAUGACCAGUCAAGUUGUGUUUGAAAUUUGAUUUUUUUCAGGGGCAAAAGGAGCCUCUGCAUUCUUGUCAAAUAUGUAAAUAGCAUGUUUUUUCAGGUGCUAAAAAACAGACUCUGAGUGUGUGUGUGUGCGUGUGUGUGUGUGUCUGUGUGUGUGUGUGUGUGUGUGUGUGUGUGUGUGCGUUGAAGUCACAUGACAUAUUUAACCGGAUGUAGCUGCAAGACGGAGCCUCGUUGACUCCGUUU
rnacentral:lncRNA from 1 species